UACGUAGGGGGCAAGCGUUAUCCGGAUUUACUGGGUGUAAAGGGAGCGUAGGCGGCUUAGUAAGUCAGAAGUGAAAGCCCGCAGCUCAACUGCGGGACUGCUUUUGAAACUGUCAGUCUUGAGUACCGGAGAGGUCAUCGGAAUUCCUUGUGUAGCGGUGAAAUGCGUAGAUAUAAGGAAGAACACCAGUGGCGAAGGCGGAUGACUGGACGGCAACUGACGGUGAGGCGCGAAAGCGUGGGGAGCAAACAGG
rnacentral:rRNA from 1 species